rnacentral:rRNA from 1 species
UACGGGGGGGGCAAGCGUUGUUCGGAAUUACUGGGCGUAAAGGGUUCGUAGGUGGCUUGCUAAGUCAGACGUGAAAUCCCUCAGCUUAACUGGGGAACUGCGUCUGAGACUGGUGAGCUUGAGUGCAGGAGAGGAACGCGGAAUUCCAGGUGUAGCGGUGAAAUGCGUAGAUAUCUGGAGGAACACCGGUGGCGAAGGCGGCGUUCUGGACUGCUACUGACGCUGAGGAGCGAAAGCGUGGGGAGCGAACAGG